AUUUGAUUUUAAGAUGUUAAGAUUUUAUUUGAAGUGUUUCCAUAUGUGAUUAUGGUAUUACUAGUAUACUUUCAACACCAAAUACAUAUACACACAGUAGCCUUUCAUAACAUUUCCACACUUCACUUCACAUAUAUGCAGUUACUAACAGCCAGUAUUUUUUCAUAUUUCCGGGUCAUUUGUUCCUGUUGAAUCUCCCCCAAAAAAGGUUCUGCAAUUAUCGUGAUCAAUCAAACUAAAAUCCCUACCUAGCAUUCUUAUGAAACUAAAUAGGUGAAAAUAUUUUAGAACAAAAACUCUAGUAUGCAUAUUUUUUUAAUACUGAAUUCCAUUCAGGAAUCAAUUUUAAUUUGAUGAUGGUUUAGUUUUAUAAUUUUCAAGUUUCUGGUUAUGUUUUCAAAUCCUUCCACAAUCUUAUAAUUCCCUCUGUAUAAUCCCUUCUAGUCCUGCAAGUCUAGAUCUUUGAACUCCAUCAGUCUUAUACCAUUAAUAUCCAUAGUUGAAAUUGCUGCAUCAGAGUUGCCUAUAACUUCAGCAACUUUGGUUCUUAGUUCUGGUAAUUCUCUCCCUAAACUUCACUAUCUUUUCUCCUUUGACUGGAAUUAGGUAAUCCGUCUUUUCACAGUCAUGGAAGGUUUUGUUCGGAUUAAAUGCAAAAUUAAUUUGUUGUUAGAAAUAUACUAUUUCUUACUGUGGUCAUUAGGGGAAGGUGACCAUUAUGUAUUAGCUUCAGGGUAGUUAUGCUAUAAAAUAGGUCUGUGAAUGUUAAAAGCCUAAAUAUAAGGAAGACUAAUUCAAUGGCAUUUGAUAGGAACGACCGGGUGAGGCCGUUUGAGGGAUGCCUGGCAAAGGGAAGGCCUUUAAAAGUGAGAAAGGAAGAGUUCAGGCUAGCAUUGUCUUGAUGGAGUGAAGGGCAAGGCUGACAAUAUUAAAGAACCUUGCUCAAUGAGAGAUUUUUAAAGUCUGGUUAGGGAAAAGGAGGAGGCAUGUCUCAGAUAUAGACACUGCGAUUAAACGUGUCCCUUGAAACGUAUAAGAGAUGUAGCAGAGGAAAUUAGGAGGGCAAAAAUGGGCCAUAGGAAAUCCCUGGUGAUGAGAUAAAGAAAAAGACUAAGAUAUUUUACGUGUAUUAAGGCAAAAGGAUAGCUAGGGAAAGAGUAGGUCUUCUUAAGGAUCUGUGUAGUAAUCCAUGUUUCUCCAUGGGAAAUAACAACUUAAAUUAAUGCAUUUUAUCUGCAUUUACCCUGAAGAAGAAUGUGGAAGCUAGCGAAUUCAGGGGAGGGAACAGUGAUAUGCUUCACCAUUAUGAAGGAGAAGGUGUUAGAUGGCUUAAAAGGCAGUAGGAUGUUUAAUUCAAGUUUAUCCCAGGACAGGAAUGAAGAGGUGAGAUUGGUGAGGUAUUAGAAGACUAGAGGACAGUUAUUGUUGUGCCUCUAUUUAAGAUGGGUAACAGGGAUAAAUCAGAAAACUACAGGCUGGUGAACCUUGCAAUUAUAGUGGUUAAAUUACGGCAAGGAAUUGUGAGGGACAGGAUUUGUUUGCUUUUGGAAAGACAAGGAAUGAUGAGGGAUGGUCAUCACGGCUUUGUGUCUUAAUUAUCUCAUUCAUUUGUCUUAAGUUUUUUGAAGAGGUGAUAGAGGAAUGUUGUUUACAUGGAUUUUAGCAGGCCUUUGACGAGAUUUGCAUGGUAGGCUGGUAGAACACAUGGGAUCCAGGAUAAGUUGCAAAAUUGCCUAGAUUGGAGGGCAUGAGUUAUGAGGAAAGAUUGGAGAAGCUGGGUCUGUUUUCUCUGGUGAAGGAAGCUGAGGUGACAUGAAAGAGUUGUAGAUAGAGGUAUGUAGAAUUAUGAGACGCUUAGAUAGGGCAGAUAGCCAGAGUCUGUUUCCCUUGGUAAGCAUGAGGUUUAAGGUGAGAGGGAAGAGGUUUAAAGCGUAUCUGAGGAGUACAGUUUUCACAUAAAGAAUACAUGGUAUUUGGAAUGAGAUGCCAGGGAACAUGGAGGAGGGAAAAGUAGUAACAUUUAAGAGGCAUUUGCUCAGGUAUUUACACGAACAAGGCAUAGAGGAAUAGGGGUUUAAUACGGGCAAGUGGGAUUAGUAUAAACAGGCAUGAUGUUUGGCAUAGAUGUGGUGGGAUGAAGGGUUUGUAUCUGUGCUGUUCUACUCUAUGACUUGAGGAUAAAAGUCAGUAUUAAUUCAUCAAAUGGGAGCAUGAAUAAUAUAAAUUUGAUUUGAGCUUUCGGUUCCUUUAGUUUAAAAUCUUUUAAACUGAGCACAUUAUACAGGUAGUCCCCAGAUUAUGAACAGGUUCUGUUUUUUACAAAUGUUCAUAAAGUGAUUUUGUCUAUGUGGAAAAUACACAAAAAACACUCUAAAUGCUAACCAUGACCUCCACAUGAUUGUAAAUAAUGAUAUUGAAAACAAAUAGGAGGGUUAAAAGGAAUACUUAACAAUUACUAGAGGAGGCGAAGAGAGAAAGAGAGAGAGAGAGGGAGAAUUAUUUCAGACAUUCAUAGGACAUGUUAGACUUUUGAAUGUAAUAAUUUAAUGGGAGCUCAAUCAUAUAUAGGGGAGUACAAAAGUAUGUGCUUGCUUAGUUCAGAUGUAGAAACUACUAGUGUUUAGUGAUAAUUAUGUUUUUGUCACAGCUGGGUUAUAAAUGUCAGAAAUGUACCAUCUCCAGUGGAAUAGUUCUGGUUAUUUCCAUUGUUCAUUUGUAUGAUUUUCAGGGAUUCUAAUGGAGGCUUUCAUGAAAUUCUGUCUCUAUAACGGUGUAUUCCUUUGAGUCUGUACCUAAUGGUUAAAAAUUAGAUUAUUUUGCUCUGUUUAUGAACAAAUAAAAAAGUAAUUUGCACUGAGUUUUCAAUUUUAUAUUGGAUUUUGCCGUGAAAAAGAUGACAAAGGAUCUUCAAUGAAAUGUUUGAAUUAAACUAAAAAGGCUUCAACAUUUAAAAGAUUUUCCUAUAGAUGGCGAUGUGAUAGAGAAAUUCACUGUUAAUGUGGAAUAAUUGAUGCUAAAACAAAGAAUAGAAUAUUGAAUUAUAAAUGUUACCUGCUAAUAUGCAUGCAGAUAGAGGAACUGACCACUUAAUGUCACUGUUGAGCAAUUUAAAAUGUUAAGACAUAACUAGCAACACUGCCGCAGGGGAACAAUGGAGGCAAAUCAGUUGGAAAGUGUAAGUUAACAUGGGAAUCUGCCCAGUAUAUCGAGAUUUCAUUGCUGGUAGAAUUUUGUGUGAUUUCUGUUUCUGUUUUGGAAGUAAGUUCCAUUUAGUGCAAACAGUUAUGUUUCAAUUUAAAAGAAAAUAUCGGGCUAGAGAGCUUGAAGGGAAGACGUUGGAUCAUAUUUCCCCAAAAAAGAUAAGAGUUGGAUCUUAUUUCCCCAAAACAGAUUGUUUAGACUAAUGUCAGAGGUCACAAUGCUAAAAUUUGGAGUAGAACUUGAAAUCACCCACUUCAGGCUUCAGUGGGGGUAGGGGAAGGGUGGUGUAGUGAUCGGAGUCAUGAAUCGGGGAGAAAAGCCGGGAAACAAAAACAGGAUUGCUCGAAGAACUCAGCCAGUCAUGCAGCAUCCAGAGAAAGAGAAACCAAUUAACAUAUCAGGUUGAAGACGCUUCAUAGGAACUGAGAAAAUAGAAGAUUCACAUAGCAGAGAAGGAUGGGGAGGGCAAUGGGUGGAACAAAGGGAAUGUCUAAUAGGGUGAAAUGAUGGACAGAAUGGUCUCUUUAAUGUGUUGCUAAUCUUGUGAAAUCGGGGAAAUGUUAUAUAGUGGUACCUACUGGGAAGUUCUGAACAGGCCAGAAUAUACAAAUAAAA